rnacentral:piRNA from 1 species
UCUCAUCGUCGUAGAACAAGCCCGAGG